rnacentral:sRNA from 5 species
AUAUCUCUCUGUACGGGAAGGAUGAGAAGCUUCGACUAAGGUUCGAUUCGAGCGCAGCGAGAAAGCGUUGCCGC